GAGUCGAGCCUGCCCAGUGAUAUAUAUUUAACGGCCGCGGUACUCUGACCGUGCAAAGGUAGCAUAAUCAUUUGCCUUAUAAUUGAAGGCUAGUAUGAAUGGUUUGACGAAAACAAUACUGUCUCUCUCUAAUUUUAUAGAACUUGAUUUUUAGGUGAAGAAGCCUAAAUAAAAUUGAAAGACAAGAAGACCCUAUCGAGCUUAAAAAAAUUUUGUUAAAAUAAAAUGGCUAUAAAAGAACAUCUGUACCAAAAAAUUUUAGUUGGGGCGACUAAGGAACAUACAAAGCUUCCAUCACAGUAAUAAAGGCCUUUUAGCUAUGAUCCAAAAUCUUUGAUUAAAAGAAUUAGUUACCGUAGGGAUAACAGCAUAAUCUUUUUUGAGAGUUCUUAUCGAAAAAAAGGUUUGUGACCUCGAUGUUGGACUAGAAUAUCCUAAA
rnacentral:rRNA from 1 species